rnacentral:rRNA from 1 species
UACGGGGGGGGCAAGCGUUGUUCGGAAUUACUGGGCGUAAAGGGUUUGUAGGUGGCUUGCUAAGUCAGACGUGAAAUCCCUCAGCUUAACUGGGGAACUGCGUCUGAGACUGGCGAGCUUGAGUGCAGGAGAGGAACGCGGAAUUCCAGGUGUAGCGGUGAAAUGCGUAGAUAUCUGGAGGAACACCGGUGGCGAAGGCGGCGUUCUGGACUGCAACUGACACUGAGAAACGAAGGCCAGGGGAGCAAACGGG